rnacentral:rRNA from 1 species
CAGCAGCCACGGGAAUACGGAGGAUCCAAGCGUUAUCCGGAAUCAUUGGGUUUAAAGGGUCCGUAGGCGGUCUUGUAAGUCAGUGGUGAAAGCCCAUCGCUCAACGGUGGAACGGCCAUUGAUACUGCAGGACUUGAAUUAUUGGGAAGUAACUAGAAUAUGUAGUGUAGCGGUGAAAUGCUUAGAGAUUACAUGGAAUACCAAUUGCGAAGGCAGGUUACUACCAAUUGAUUGACGCUGAUGGACGAAAGCGUGGGUAGCGAACAGGAUUAGAUACCCCAGUAGUCCCUGUCUCUUAUAC